rnacentral:snoRNA from 1 species
ACCGAUGAUGAGUGUCAUCCCAGCCGAGUGGUGACGACGUUUAUCCCCACCUGAGG